GAAACGCGAUAGUUAAUGUGAAUUGCAGAAUUCAGUGAAUCAUCGAGUCUUUGAACGCACAUUGCGCCUUUUGGUAUUCCGAGAGGCACGCCUGUCUGAGCGUCAGUUAAACCACUUCGGUAGUAUCCAAUUACCGGUGUUGGCGGCGGGUGGUCCCACCGUGGACCCCCCCGCUUAAACCUGGCGCGGGGUAAGCUAGCCAGCAAAAACCGCAAAUAGUAGAAUUUCCUUCUUUUGCGCAACCCUGGCCCGGCCCCCCCUUCAAAGUAAACCCCAUCUCUUUGACCUCAGAUCAGACGAGGAUACCCGCUGAACUUAA
rnacentral:misc_RNA from 1 species